rnacentral:lncRNA from 1 species
AGCGAACAGCUACAUAAAGAUUAAGAGGAUUGUAGUUCCCUCAAACUUCCCUGUUAAUUGAUAUUGUCAUACCAAAUCACACAGGUAAUACGUUUUGAUUUAUAUAAGAAUGAUAUAGCUAUGUAUUAUUAUUGAUUGCAGUAAAUAUAUUUUCUUCAUUUUUACGUUAUUCACUGUAAAUGAUGAAAGACAUAUUGUUGCAUUUUAUUUAAUUACUUUAAACGUACAUUUCUUUUUUUAUCAUUUGUAAUAUAACAAGUGUGCCUGUUUGUGUAUAUGCCAAUGCUUCUUCAAAAUACACAUAGACGCAUCAUGUUUCAAAGACCAAACAGCCUAAUGUCUUGGUGAAUAAUAUAACGGUAAUUGUUAGUGAUUCGGCAGAUUAGAACGUUCGAGUUGGAUUAUCUGCGAAUUAAAAUAUGAUGUACGCAUAAUCAGUAUUGCUAAGAAAAACUGGGAUUGAUACAUAGUUAUUUUCUGCUAGUACUGAAUAGGCUUGUUCGCUUGUUCUCGUAACAAACAAUUUCCUAUAGAUUAAUGGCACGUUUUUUUUUUUCUCUUAAAUAAAUGUUUUUACUUCAUUUUUAAAUUUAAACCUCAUAGAACUAUUCAUACUGUUUUUGUAAUGUUAUUCAUUUAUAUGCCAUGCAUUAUAUUUAUCAAAAACAUUAUUAAUACUAUGGUUAUAAUUUGAUUGCAUGCGUUUUGAUAUUAUUCUUUGUUAUAUGUAUUUAAUUUCAAGAAUGGUUUCUUUUUACAGAGUAAAAAAAGCGAACAUGCACAAACUUUUUGAUACAACUCUUAUUAUUUGUAUUGUGUUGAUGACAAUUAUUAUGCAAGGUAAGAUAUGUUUUUUUGUUUUCAUUAUGCCUGAGUUGCCAUUUUUAUAUGCUAAAGUUUGAUAUAGCAAAAUACAACUGUUCAUUUAAUAUUUUACAAGUGAAUGUGUAAUAUGAGCACAAUCGCGUGUUUGUUCUGACCAACAAGCAGAGUGUAAGCAUGAUUUCCAAUUUGUAAUUCAUAUAUCAAUAUAAUGGAAGAAGACAUGUCGUCUUUACAGUACAUCUUACUCUCACUCCAAGCUAACCGCCGUAAAGAAGUAGGUUCAGUAAGAACCCUGUUUUGACCCAAAAUAUAGCAGUUUUAGAAAAAUGUGAAAAUGAAAUCUUUAAGCUAUAUUUUGGAAAGUCUUCUGCUACAAAAAUAUGAGCUGUUUUUGACAAUACAAUGCACAAAUAUUGCGUUCUAGCAACAUUAAGUCAUGCUAAAUUAUUGAAAUCUUUACUGUCAAAAUUUUAGCAUUUGGGGUAUUUUUAGACGGUUUCCGUCUAAAAUGAAAGUGGCCGCAUUCGUGUUAUCAUCAUUAAUAUUGAAAUGUUAGUUGUAAUUGUGAUAAUACAAAACAUACAAAGGUUGAGGAUGAACACGGAUGCGGCCACUUUCAUUUUUGACAAAAACCAUCUGAAAAGUGACGUUUUUUUUGCAUAUUUGAUAUAUUUUUCAUAUUUAAGCUUUAUCAGAGCGUUAUAAUGAUUAAAUCAGUUAGAAUCUUUCACAUUAACUAAUCGAAUCAAUUGAAAUAGACACUUAAGUGUAUAAAAAAUUUCAAAAAACUUUCGUUAAAUAAAUCUGAAAUGUGAGGCCAAAAUCGGCCCUUACCGGACCUACUCCAAAUUUUAGGAGCGUGAUUAGCAGAGCUGCAACAACUACUAAUUUAUCUUCUUUGUUCAACUCAACCUAGUGAUAAACCCAUACUCGAGGUGAACAUACUCUCACGUAACUAUCGAUGUCGACAUUACGGAAUUAUUAUUGUAUAGUUUCUAAUCUGCGUUUGCAUUAUUCUUUUUCACCGGCAAUGGCUUAUCAUUAGUUUAAACAUAUUUAUUUAUAGUGGAUUUUGAAACAAGUGUUGCAACUUAUAUUAAUCCCCUUCCUCUUUGCGGGUGCGAGUGCUGCCUUGUAGCGGCAUUAGCCUGCUCUAUUUCAAAAUCUACAAGGGUGUAUUUAACGUGCAAGAAAUAUGGCUCUCUCUUAACACGGGUCUACUAAUCAUUAAUAAGACAGAACAAGGAGUUGUGUGGUUUUCUUUGUCUCCUUAUAAUAUAUUGAUUUCUUUUAUUGAACAUUUUUACGUUAAGACAUACUCAAAGUAUAUCAAAGAAUGCGUAUUUAAAAAAAUCACAAUAAGUGAAAUGUAUGUAUGCAAUUCGUGUAUGAUUAAUUUUUUUUGGCUUUAUAAAUAUGUUAAUUUGAGCGUCACUGAUGAGUCUUGUUUAGAAGAAACGCGCGUCUGACGUUCUUAAUUAUAAUCCCGGCACCUUCGUUAACUAAUAAUGCAUUAUAUGCGAUAUUCAGAAUUGUAACAACUUCAGUUUAUCAGUUUAAAUCUGAUCAAUUGAAGGAAAAUGAGCAUUAGUUACAAAAGAAUCAAGAGCGGGUGCAUUCGCUUCGUCUUAUUCUAUACAUAUAUAUUAUCCAAUAAAUCUAUGAACUAUGAGGUCCUUUUUCGAGAUGAAUAUUCAGUGUGUUUUACGUGUAUUUAGGUAUAAAUAUUCAGAGUAUACUGGGUUCACUGUUGUUUUGUGUUGUUGGUUUCCUGAAUAAACAUUUUAUUCGACCACUUCUUUAUUCAGCUGGUGGACGUUUCGUCCCCGAGGGUAUCACCAGCCCAGUAUUCAUUUCGGUGUUGACAUGAAUAUCAAUAAUGUGAUCAUUUUUACAAAUUUCCUGUUAACGAAACUUUAAAUUUAUCGAAAAUUUAGGGAUAUUCUUAUCCCAGGCGUAGAGUACCUAACCCGUAUUUGGCACAAUUAUUUCGGAAUUUUGGAUCCUCAAUGCUCUUCAACUUUUUAUUUGUUUGGCUUGAAAUAUGUAUUUUUUUUAUCUUUAUAUUUAUUAAACCUCUAUUCUAUUAUUUACAACAAAUUUUACAUAUUAUCACAGAAAACAUUGAGUCCCUAUACUACCAUUCUAUAGCAUUCUUUCUUCUCACAACCAAUAACAGUCACACAAAUCCUAAACUUACUUCAUUAUAUUAAUAACACCGUAUAUAGAUACCUUGUAUUCAACAAUUAUUAUUAACUGUCUAUUCAAAAAUUCAACAAUGUUCAUUUGAAGCGUUUGUAGAUGGAUUCCAUUCCUGAAAACGCAUUCAACGAGGUCAAAGUUUUUCAUAAAAAAGACAAAAAAAUAGCUUGCAACUAAGUAUAUACCGCAAAAUAAUAUAACUGAAUUGAAUCACUCACAGAAUUAUACAUAACUUCACUUAAACCUGUCACACAAAAGACUUUUAUAUAUGACUACAUUAUAAUGUCGACAAUUUAUUACAUUUCACAUAGUUAAUCAUCAAUUGAAUUGCUUCUCUCGCUUUUUCCGAAUAAAAUAUCAUCAAACUGCUUAAAAAGUAAUCGCAAAUAAGGUUAAUAUCUUGCAUCCCGGUUUUCAACCGCUUCAACAGAUUUUCUAUUUACAUUACAUGUAACUAUAAGGUUCUUACUAGGCAUGUUACGAAAAGGUAUAUUCUCGAUGCUGAGGUUGACAAAUUACACUUUAAAUUUGGGGACGGUGUCAAAACAUUGACUAUAGAAAAGAAUUAGAUGAUGUGCGUCUUAAAGAAUUCAAAUCACAGUUAUAUAGAACAUCAUUAUGUAACAUCCUAAUAUUAUGACAAUUGCUUCUGUGAUAUUGAUGCUAUCAUACGACAUAAAAGGUGUCCGCGUGCAAGAGUGGGUGGGCUAGAAAAAGGGGGGCUGAGAGUUAUACAGAGUUCAUUCGAUUCUAGAUUGAUAAUAUAUGUACAUAGUAAGCCAGCUAAAUAAUAGUUUUAUUGUUGUAUGAAAGUUCCUGAAGUUUAAUGUGUCGCUCCAAAAAUCCCGCACAAAGCUCUACAGUCUGAUUGAUUUAUUCUCUCGGGUGUCUCCAUCAGCUUCCAAUGACUCUGAAAGUUUUGAAGCACCUUAUAACGUGUUCGACAUAUACACGCCACUCUGAUAUACGCUAAUUUACUUUUUUACAUUUUCUUCCUUCUGCUAGUGGUUUAACUCUUAGUUGAUGCCUUUUUUAAAUCUAACCCUAGCCCCCUCCCUCUCCCUGAAAGGAAAAUCUGGUAGGUCCAAAGAGUAAUAAUAGGUACACGUCUUUAAAACGCCAUUAUAUUUUUUUUAGGAAACCCCUAGCAUCGUUAGCUUAAAUAGAAGAAAGACCCAUCGGUCAUCGGUAUUAAUUUGUUUUAUUGUCAUUUUCUUCUGAAACGGUUGCCGAAUUUCAACAAAACUUUCCCAGAAUUUAUAAAAUACAAAAUAUCUGCAUAAGGUGGUGUUAAGGUGUAAAUGCAAAGUCAAUAUAUAAAGCUUUGGAAACUCUGCAGGAAUGUUCAACUGAUGAGUAGUGAGGUCAUAUUUUACAUAAACCUCUUAUCGUUCUGAACAGGCAUUAAAUAUUUGCCACUGAACUUGAUGCAACCAAUAGUCAAUCAGUCACAAACACCUUAUUAAGAAAAUACAAAAUGAGCUGAAACUGUUUAAAUUAGGACAAAGUUGGUUGGAAAGAAAUAAAGAAAGAAAAUACAUGCCCUCGAAGCUAUGUAACCGGGAGUUAUAAUUUUCUAAACUAGAAUGCAACAUGUUUCAAGUUAAAAUUGUAAAAAAAAAUCUUGUUCAUGUGUUUUAAAACAAACUCCGUUAGAUAAAAAUUUAGGUGGCAAAUAACUGGAUCAAAAUACAUACACUUCUUUGUGUGUUUUUCAAAACUAUAUGAAAAUGACCGGUACAUAUAUAUUUACGAGUAGGUAUAAAGCAGAUUAUAAUACUUAAGAUUAUGUGCAAGGUCUAUCAUAUUUGCAAGGGCUCGCCGAAAUACAUAGGUAAUCUCUUUUCUGUUUUGACAAAGUCCCCACAUUUAAAGUGUAAUUUGUCAACCUCAGCGUCGUGAAUAUACCUUUUCGUAACAUGUCUACUAAUGAUAUUUCCGAUCAAAACACCACUUGUAAGACUUCUUUUACAAACAAUUUUACCGAAUUCUUCAUGUUCGAUUCUAUAAUAUCUUUAUUACAAACAUCACUACUUUGUUCUUUCAUUUCAAUUUCUUUACUAUGUUUACGUUUCACUAUUUGUUUACGUUUUUCUUUACAUUCUAUUGUCUCUCCUACAGGUAAACUCCUUUCACUAUUAAUAACCUGUUUUACGGGUAUAUCAACAUUAUUAAAUGUACAUCGUUCUAUAUGUUUAUCCACGUGUUGAAUUGGAAUACUAUGUGUGAAUGAAGAGGCUCCCAUAAGGAGAAUGUCUGUAAUCAUUGUACUUUCCUCGCAUUCAACCACGGUACAAGCUUUAAUGUUGAUAUUAUCAUUUACAAUGCUUUAAUCAUCAUCAACGUUCUCAACGUCUGUGUUACUUUGAAUGAAAUUAAAUUCUUUCAAACGUUUAUUGUCUCUCUUUCUUGCUGAUUCUGAUUUACGUUUUACCUGCAUAUUUUUUUGUAUCAGUAUUCGAGAACAUAAUCGAAAUUCUUGUUUUGUCAUUAUCACCAUGGAAACUAUAUUUUGUUUUUCCAUAAUUUUUUACAUGCACAUUCUAUUGCCUUAAUAAGAAACUUGGGUAAUUUAUUCAUAACGCACAGUCAAUGUUUUCAUAUAUGAAACAAAAUAAACCAACGGAGCCCUCUGUUCGAUAAACAGUUUAGUCGCCAAAAUAGAUAUUUUAAAAUAGUUAUUCUCUUUAAAAUAGAAGAAUUGACGAUACACAUUUCACUGCUUGGAGUUCCGAGCAUAACCUUGGUAACAUAAUCAAAUGUAUCCUACUUUCAAAAGACGUGUAUACACUUCAGAACACUAACGGGAACUGAUUGAUAUAUAUUUUAGUCAGAGCGGCACUGAUGAGUCUUAUGUAGACAAAACGCGCGUCUGGCGUACUAAAUUAUAAUCCUGGUACUUUUGAUAACUGUUAUUCUUAUUCUACAGUAUAUAAAACCAUUGUCAAAUUAAUGAUGUUUAUAAAAAAAAACGUUGUUUUUUUUAACAAAUAGCGAAAUCGCGAAACCGAAUACUGUAAACCAACUUAUUUUCGCGAGCGAUUUAUUUUUGCGAAUUUCGCGAGUAGAAAAAUAACGCGAAGAUAAAUCGUCGCGAAUAUGUAAACCUUGGAUCUUUCCUUAUUAAACUUCAUCAAGUUAAUUAGAAAAUCGCGAUAUUAAAUAGCCGCGAAGUGGUCAAGAAAGGAUAAAACGCGAAAUAAAGUAUCCGCGAAAAUAAGUUGGUUUACAGUAUUAAGUACAUAAAAACGAUUCAAAAACCAACGUAUAAUUCCUGACUUGCUAUUUUUUUCACAUUAACAUUCACGUAAGAUUAUGAGUAAUGAUUUUUCUUUUUUGAUAGUACAAAUGUAACUUUAGCACACGAUACAAUUUAAUCCGCAGGAUGCAAUCAUUACAUCUCCACGAGUCCUGUUGCAUGACUUGCGCACGACCUCAGUAUUUGUUUUCUCUCUGUUAUAUGAUGAUAUUUCCUCAAACUAUUACCAAUUAUUUGAAAUGGAUAAUACAUUAUUCAGAAACUGAAUCACAGAAUUGUUCUAAUCAACAUAUAGAGUCAUGUACCACAGCCUACUACAGUACAUUAAGAGACUCAGCGGGCGACAUAGGGGCAGUAUGCAGGUUAGAUUGUGCUUUAUAUAUUUGAUUCGUUGUAGUGAUAUCAUAUACUUUUGAUUCAAGUCAU